rnacentral:tmRNA from 4 species
GGGGCUGAUUCUGGAUUCGACGGGAUUCGCGAAACCCAAGGUGCAUGCCGAGGGGCGGUUUGCCUCGUUAAAAGCCGCAAAAAAAUAGUCGCAAACGACGAAAACUACGCUUUAGCAGCUUAAUAACCUGCUUAGCGCCCUCUCUCCCUAGCCUCCGCUCUUAGGACGGGGAUCAAGAGAGGUCAAACCCAAAAGAGAUCGCGUGGAUGCCCUGCCUGGGGUUGAAGCGUUAAAACUAAUCAGGCUAGUCUGUCAGUGGCGUGUCUGUCCGCAGCUGCCAGGCGAAUGUAAAGACUGACUAAGCAUGUAGUACCGAGGAUGUAGGAAUUUCGGACGCGGGUUCAACUCCCGCCAGCUCCACCA